rnacentral:rRNA from 1 species
GAUGAACGCUGGCGGCGUGCCUAAUACAUGCAAGUCGAGCGAACAGAUGAGGAGCUUGCUCCUCUGACGUUAGCGGCGGACGGGUGAGUAACACGUGGAUAACCUACCUAUAAGACUGGGAUAACUUCGGGAAACCGGAGCUAAUACCGGAUAAUAUAUUGAACCGCAUGGUUCAAUAGUGAAAGACGGUUUUGCUGUCACUUAUAGAUGGAUCAGCGCCGCAUUAGCUAGUUGGUAAGGUAACUGCUUACCAAGGCAACGAUGCGUAGCCGACCUGAGAGGGUGAUCGGCCACACUGGAACUGAGACACGGUCCAGACUCCUACGGGAGGCAGCAGUAGGGAAUCUUCCGCAAAGGGCGAAAGCCUGACGGAGCAACGCCGCGUGAGUGAUGAAGGUCUUCGGAUCGUAAAACUCUGUUAUUAGGGAAGAACAAAUGUGUAAGUAACUAUGCACGUCUUGACGGUACCUAAUCAGAAAGCCACGGCUAACUACGUG